UUGGUUAAGUUAGAAAGGGCGCACGGUGGAUGCCUUGGCACUAGGAGCCGAAGAAGGACGGGACUAACACCGAUAUGCUUUGGGGAGCUGUACGUAAGCGUUGAUCCAGAGAUUUCCGAAUGGGGGAACCCACUAUCUUUAGUCGGAUAGUAUCCUUACGUGAAUACAUAGCGUGAGGAAGGCAGACCCAGGGAACUGAAACAUCUAAGUACCUGGAGGAAGAGAAAGAAAAAUCGAUUUCCUGAGUAGCGGCGAGCGAAACGGAAAGAGCCCAAACCAAGAAGCUUGCUUCUUGGGGUUGUAGGACACUCUAUACGGAGUUACAAAAGAAAGUUAUAAAUGAAGCGGUCUGGAAAGGCCCGCCAAAGACGGUAACAGCCCGGUAGUUGAAAUAGCUUUCCCUCCAGAGUGGAUCCUGAGUACGGCGGAACACGUGAAAUUCCGUCGGAAUCCGGGAGGACCAUCUCCCAAGGCUAAAUACUCCCUAGUGACCGAUAGUGAACCAGUACCGUGAGGGAAAGGUGAAAAGCACCCCGGAAGGGGAGUGAAACAGUUCCUGAAACCGUGUGCCUACAAGUAGUUAGAGCCCGUUAAUGGGUGAUAGCGUGCCUUUUGUAGAAUGAACCGGCGAGUUACGAUUUGUUGCAAGGUUAAGCGGAAAAAGCGGAGCCGUAGCGAAAGCGAGUCUGAAUAGGGCGCAUAAGUAACAGGUCGUAGACCCGAAACCAGGUGAUCUACCCAUGUCCAGGAUGAAGGUAAGGUAAUACUUACUGGAGGUCCGAACCCACGCACGUUGAAAAGUGCGGGGAUGAGGUGUGGGUAGCGGAGAAAUUCCAAUCGAACUUGGAGAUAGCUGGUUCUCUCCGAAAUAGCUUUAGGGCUAGCCUCGAGGUAAAGAGUCAUGGAGGUAGAGCACUGUUUGGACUAGGGGCCCUUCUCGGGUUACCGAAUUCAGAUAAACUCCGAAUGCCAUGUACUUAUACUCGGGAGUCAGACUGCGAGUGAUAAGAUCCGUAGUCGAAAGGGAAACAGCCCAGACCACCAGUUAAGGUCCCCAAAUAUAUGUUAAGUGGAAAAGGAUGUGGGGUUGCUUAGACAACCAGGAUGUUGGCUUAGAAGCAGCCACCAUUGAAAGAGUGCGUAAUAGCUCACUGGUCGAGUGACCCCGCGCCGAAAAUGUACCGGGGCUAAACAUAUUACCGAAACUGUGGAUGAACCUCUUUAGAGGUUCGUGGUAGGAGAGCGUUCUAAGGGCGGUGAAGUCAGACCGGAAGGACUGGUGGAGCGCUUAGAAGUGAGAAUGCCGGUAUGAGUAGCGAAAGAAGGGUGAGAAUCCCUUCCACCGAAUAUCUAAGGUUUCCUGAGGAAGGCUCGUCCGCUCAGGGUUAGUCGGGACCUAAGCCGAGGCCGAUAGGCGUAGGCGAUGGACAACAGGUAGAGAUUCCUGUACCAGUGCUAAUUGUUUAACCGAUGGGGUGACACAGAAGGAUAGGGAAUCGCACGAAUGGAAAUGUGCGUCCAAGCAGUGAGUGUGAGAAGUAGGCAAAUCCGCUUCUCGCGAAGCAUGAGCUGUGAUGGGGAAGGAAAUUAAGUACGGAAGUUCCUGAUUUCACGCUGUCAAGAAAAGCCUCUAGGAAGAGUAGUACUGCCCGUACCGCAAACCGACACAGGUAGAUGAGGAGAGAAUCCUAAGGUGAGCGAGAGAACUCUCGUUAAGGAACUCGGCAAAAUGACCCCGUAACUUCGGGAGAAGGGGUGCUCUAUUAGGGUGCAAGCCCGAGAGAGCCGCAGUGAAUAGGCCCAGGCGACUGUUUAGCAAAAACACAGGUCUCUGCAAAACCGUAAGGUGACGUAUAGGGGCUGACGCCUGCCCGGUGCUGGAAGGUUAAGAGGAGUGCUUAGCUUCGGCGAAGGUACGAAUUGAAGCCCCAGUAAACGGCGGCCGUAACUAUAACGGUCCUAAGGUAGCGAAAUUCCUUGUCGGGUAAGUUCCGACCCGCACGAAAGGCGCAACGAUCUGGGCACUGUCUCAACGAGAGACUCGGUGAAAUUAUAGUACCUGUGAAGAUGCAGGUUACCCGCGACAGGACGGAAAGACCCCGUGGAGCUUUACUGCAACCUGAUAUGGAAUGUUUGUACCGCUUGUACAGGAUAGGUAGGAGCCGAAGAGACGUGUGCGCUAGCAUACGAGGAGGCAAUGGUGGGAUACU
rnacentral:rRNA from 1 species